rnacentral:rRNA from 1 species
UACAGAGGUCUCAAGCGUUGUUCGGAUUCAUUGGGCGUAAAGGGUGCGUAGGCGGCGCGGUAAGUCGGGUGUGAAAUCUCGGAGCUUAACUCCGAAACUGCAUUCGAUACUGCUGUGCUUGAGGACUGGAGAGGAGACUGGAAUUUACGGUGUAGCGGUGAAAUGCGUAGAUAUCGUAAGGAAGACCAGUGGCGAAGGCGGGGUCUCUGGACAGUUCCUGACGCUGAGGCACGAAGGUCAGGGGGAGCAAACGGG